rnacentral:rRNA from 1 species
GACGAACGCUGGCGGCGUGCUUAACACAUGCAAGUCGAACGAUGAACCACUUCGGUGGGGAUUAGUGGCGAACGGGUGAGUAACACGUGGGCAAUCUGCCCUGCACUCUGGGACAAGCCCUGGAAACGGGGUCUAAUACCGGAUACGAGCCUGGGAGGCAUCUCCCGGGUUGGAAAGCUCCGACGGUGCGGGAUGAGCCCGCGGCCUAUCAGCUUGUUGGGGAGGUAACGGCUCACCAAGGCGACGACGGGUAGCCGGCCGUAGAGGGCGACCGGCCACCAGGGGGUUGCGAGACGGCCCAGAGUCCUACGGGAUGCAGCAGUGGGGAAUAUUGCACAAUGGGCGAAAGCCUGAUGCAGCGACGCCGCGUGAGGGAUGACGGCCUUCGGGUUGUAAACCUCUUUCAGCAGGGAAGAAGCGAAAGUGACGGUACCUGCAGAAGAAGCGCCGGCUAACUACGUGCCAGCAGCCGCCGUAAAAC